GAUGAACGCUAGCUACAGGCUUAACACAUGCAAGUCGAGGGGCAGCAGGGAUUUAGCUUGCUAAAUCCGCUGGCGACCGGCGCACGGGUGCGUAACGCGUAUCCAACUUUCCCGUUACUCUUGGAUAGCCUUCCGAAAGGGAGAUUAAUACAAGAUGGCAUCAGAAUUUCGCAUGUUAUUCUGAUUAAAGAUUUAUCGGUAACGGAUAGGGAUGCGUGACAUUAGAUAGUAGGCGGGGUAACGGCCCACCUAGUCUACGAUGUCUAGGGGUUCUGAGAGGAAGGGCCCCCACACUGGAACUGAGACACGGUCCAGACUCCUACGGGAGGCAGCAGUGAGGAAUAUUGGUCAAUGGUCGGAAGACUGAACCAGCCAAGUAGCGUGAAGGAUGAAGGUUCUAUGGAUUGUAAACUUCUUUUAUAUAGGAAUAAAACCUCUCACGUGUGGGAGCUUGUAUGUACUAUAUGAAUAAGCAUCGGCUAACUCCGUGCCAGCAGCCGCGGUAAUAC
rnacentral:rRNA from 1 species